UGGGGGAUAUUGCACAAUGGGCGAAAGCCUGAUGCAGCGACGCCGCGUGGGGGAUGAAGGCUUUCGGGUUGUAAACCUCUUUCGCUAUCGAACAAGGCCCGCUUAGGGUGGGUUGAGGGUAGGUGGAGAAGAAGCGCCGGCUAACUACGUGCCAGCAGCCGCGGUAAUACGUAGGGCGCGAGCGUUGUCCGGAAUUAUUGGGCGUAAAGGGCUUGUAGGCGGCUUGUUGCGCCUGCUGUGAAAACGCGGGGCUUAACUUCGCGCGUGCAGUGGGUACGGGCAGGCUUGAGUGUGGUAGGGGUGACUGGAAUUCCAGGUGUAGCGGUGGAAUGCGCAGAUAUCUUGAGGAACACCGAUGGCGAAGGCAGGUCACUGGGCCAUUACUGACGCUGAGGAGCGAAAGCAUGGGUAGCGAACAGG
rnacentral:rRNA from 1 species